AUCGUAUUGCGAAAACGCUUAAACUUUUAAUAAGACUAAGUGGUAUGCGGUUACGUGACUUCAGAUCGUCGUGCUUUGUCCUAUGCUUUUUAAAGCCUAAUAUUAAAACAACUACUUGGCUUUUGAGUGGAUAGACGUUCGCUGGAACUCCGUAACAGAUUAUACUAACAAACGCGAUAACCCUUUUCCCGGGUGACAACCUGAAAGGAAUACACAGGUUGCCUUCCGCACAACUCGAAGCAGUCAUUUCUUGGACCUGGACGCCCUACUUUACCGCCUGCCUGUAGCUCAGUGUAAUGAGCCUCAAACAACGCCCGGUAUAUUUGGACACUUUUAGGAAAUGGCUACGCCCACUUUGCCAGCUGUCUUACGCAUACUCUCUUUACGUCAGAAGUUUUAUACGUCUACAGGAAGCCGUGGCGUCGGCUAUAAACAUCAAGUGGAAGCAUUUAGUAAAAAUGAAUUACGGUAUUAAGGGUUCGAGAGUUAUGCUUAAGGUAAGGCAGCGUAUCUAAAGUUUGUAUGAAUUAGAAGAAGAAAAUAUCAAGUUCUCCUUGAAGUCGAUUUUAACGAUAGUAGACCAUCGAAGCUAACUGUCGUUACUUAUAUUACAGAGGCAUUGUUUAAUGGAUUACAAAUCGGAGCGGGUAUAAACCUUGUACCUGAAUGGAAAUUUCUCUUUUGCAUUAACCAUUGGAUGAUAAGCGUUUUCAACAACUGCUCCUAGUUGCCACCUAGUUAUUAAGGAAUUAAAGAUGCAGCAACCGGAGUUCAAUAAUGACGGUGUGCCCUUUAAAUCCGUUUUGACUAGAUUUCCAUAAUUUUUCCUCACGCCUCAUUGUUAUCUAUUAUAUGUUGCGCUACAAGGAUCUAUCGUACAAUAGCUAGCUUCAAAAAUAGAUUUCCACCCUAUAUGACCUAAUGGUGUACAUCGCCAUAUACUCAGUGCUAGCGCUGUUACAUAGCUUACAGCUUUUAACUUAGAUUCAGCAAGUGGUGCCUCGAAAGCGGCCA